UCCCGUGGGUGACUGGGGACGGGCCACCUCCUCCCCCCGCCAACAGCCCGCCCCCCACCUUUUCUGCUUCGCCACCUCCCCCGGGUCUAGCGGCUGCAAAGGGGCAUUUCUGCAGCGCGCCGGGCUGGAAGGGGAGGCGCCACGCCAGACACAGAUCUGCAGCUGUGCUAAGCCACAACAGUUUGGAGACUACUGCUCACUCUUUUGCAGUGGUAGCUCUAAAAGCUAUCAAAAUAAAAUAAUAAGUAAAUUGUUCAAAAUGGAAAAACACAGAGAAAUAACUGGAAGGACUGUUACUUGUAGCUGUAAUUAGAGGGUGAAUGCUGCUUAUAACCUUUGGAUAUAGAUGAAGAAGAAGCUAGCUAAUUCUUUCUCUGUCUGACAUUCUUCCUCAGUCUGUGGGUACAACAUGCUGGGUGAAUAUAGACUGAUCAAAUUUGAAUUCAAAAUACAAAUAUAAAAUACAGAUAUAGGCCUCAGUACAAGAGUGGAGUAUGUAGCUGAUGUCAUUUAUAUUUCUGUCUCUUGGUGGCUCCAGCAAGGGUGGUAACUGGUAUUAUACUUGCUGGUGUGGCUUUUAUAGCAUUUUAUGCUUUCUUGGGAAGAGGCUGUGGCCAAUUCACACAAACACACAAAGCCAGUCUUGAACGGCCUGUAUUACCAGCAGGUCAGAAGAACAGUGCACAAGAGCUUCUUGGAACUUGCUGUAAAUAUAGACACACUAUUUGGAAGAGAUCGAUUGUCAUCCCUAUUCCUAGAUCUGAGAUGUUGGCAUGACUCCCUGUCAACCAGCACCCACAUGUGGAACAUGGUGUGGGAAAGACACAGAAUGAAGAGCGUAAGAAAAUAAUAUUGUAGGACAAUAACAUGAUAGGCUCAGAACAUUAGGCCAUACUUUCAAGUAGGGGAGGAAUACAACUGCAUGCCUCAAAUCUGUGGCAAAUGUACAGCUAAUUUGCAAACAUAAUUAUGGCAACGGGACUUAAAAAUGAUAUAAUUGCAUAUACAAACUAGGUAGUCAACUGCAUGUGCGUUUUGGAGAAGAAAUGGUGUGUUCAAGCUAUUUGAAAAUCUAGAACAUUGUUUUCUAUGGGCCAGAUCCCCAUGGUCUAUACUUAGCUUUUACUCAGUCCUCAUUCAAACAGUUUCCACUGAGUAUAAACUGAAUGAAAACCUCAGGAUCUGGCCCUGCAGUUUUACUUUGAUGAUUAUGGCUGUGUCAAAAGCAGUAAUCAUUCUGUGUGUGGAACUCCCAGUUCCAUGUGCCAUGCCCAUCGCUGGUAUAGAAACAGCAUAAUUAAGAGGCACAGCUCUAGAUUAGUGUAGUGGUGGCAGCCAGGUCUAAAAUGGAGGUCCUCCUUAAGAAGGAGGGAUGGUACCGAUGGUGGAAGAAGUUCUUUACCUUGAAUAGGUGGUAAAAUUGUCCUUCUCUUACUGUAUGUGAUGUAAGUGCAUGCUCUGCUAUUGAAAGUUGGUCGCUCCUGGCCUCACUUAGGGCCUCCUUUGAUCAAAAAUACAUCCAGCUGCAGAUGCUACUGCAUAUGUGUUCAGUCAGCUGAUCUCAGCUUCCGGAGACCAGAGCCCAUGGGUAUAGUUAGUACUGAAUUUGUGUGGCACCUUCCCCAAAGCAUUUCUGACCUUGGGCUCUGUCACUCGAAGGAACCAUUCAUGCUGAGGAUGAUGCCUUCAGUUUUUAAACACAGAAGGGCUCCAUUCCACAAGCAUCCCGCUGACAUCAGUUUGUGUUCCAGACAUGGGUCGCUUAUAGAAUUGGACCCAAAUUCUCUUCAAUGUGGAAAGAGGCUCAUCUCCAGCCUAUUUGUAGUAAGUAGCUAUUAAUCUAGGCAAUCUCUAGGUGAUAUAUUAAACAAAGCUGGUGAUAUAUUUAAAAAAAAACCUUUACCAUUAUUCAUUGGAAUGUUAAAAUUAAUUGACUUCAACCAGACCAUGUCUCUUAGCGUUUGCUUUCUGCUAAUGUUCAGUUAAAUAUAUUUACUCUCACAAAUAUACAUGCAGGGUAUAAUUUACUGCCGUGCACAAAGCCAGCACAAACAUCUAACACCAUGGGAGUGCUAUUUAAACUUUGAGGAUUUGGGUAGAAUUUACAUGGGUCACAGAGCUUGAUGCUGACUCUCUGAAGAGAGAUGAAUUUUACACUUAGAUUUUAUUUUUCCCCUCAUUUUUAAUAAAAGUACACAUUAUUAGGAAAACAGGAAUGGUGUUUUUUUAAAUGAUUUGUAAUGUUUAUUAUUUGUAUUACAUAGUGCCUAGAAUCCCCAGUCAUGGACCAGAAACCCACUGAGUAGGUGCUGUGCAAAUACACAACAAAAAGACAGUCCUUGCCCAUCAUAAGGUGACUGGCCUGUUUUAGGGAAAUCAGGGCCUAAUCUGUCCACAACUGCCUUCUGAAGCCCCACCUGGGGGUAAUUGACUACCCAGGUGGCUACUCAAAGGUUAAUUGGUAAACAAACCCAUGGACCUAGUUAAAAGGUUACCUGAGCUUAGUUAGGGUAGGUACUCUCAGGGAGAACGUGCUUCUAGAGAGAAGGCAUGCUUCUAAGAACAAGCUGCCCGCAGGAGAGCUCACUGGGUGAAGGAGCCUAGCACCUAUGCUCCUAGAGAGAGGAGAUCUUUAAGGGGAGAACUAUGCUACCGGGAAGGCCUGGUCCCAUGGAAGGGAUCUCCACCAAAACAGGGGCAGGAAGCCCAGCCAGUCAGGAACUAUGGGCUGUCCUUGAGAAGAGCUGCUGUUGGCAGGUUGACCCCUAUCUUCAGAGAAGGAUUCUCCCCAGCUGGUGGCAAAAGAUUGGACUCCAAAAAAGGGACUUGAGUGAAGACAACCCUGCUGGUAAAGGGCCUGGACAGAGCUAGCAGUAGACUAUGGUGGGAUAAAUAAAGUAAGACUGAUUCUGUGUCCCAGCUAAGACACUGGGACAAAGGUUUUUGGUUUAUUAUCCUUCGUAUUGGCCUGUCUUUUAAUAAACAAGACCCUCCGUGCUCUUUGA